rnacentral:rRNA from 1 species
CAGCUGCGAGACUUGGUGUGAAUUGCAGGACACAUUGAGCACUGAUUUUUCGAACGCGCAUUGCGGCCU